rnacentral:rRNA from 1 species
UACGGAGGGGGCCUAGCGUUGUUCGGAAUUUGCUGGGGCGUAAAGCGCACGUAGGCGGGCUUUGUGAAGUUAAGAGGUGAAAGCCCAGGGCUUUAACUCUGGAAUUUGCCUUUAAGACUGCAUCGCUAGAAUCGUGGAGAGGUGAGUGGAAUUCCGAGUGUAGAGGUGAAAUUCGUAGAUAUUCGGAAGAACACCAGUGGCGGAAGGCGGCUCUCUGGGCAGAUACUGACGCUGAGGACGCGAAAAGCAUGGGGGAGCAAACAGG